GAUGAACGCUGGCGGCGUGCCUAAUACAUGCAAGUCGAGCGAACAGACGAGGAGCUUGCUCCUUUGACGUUAGCGGCGGACGGGUGAGUAACACGUAGGUAACCUACCUAUAAGACUGGGAUAACUUCGGGAAACCGGAGCUAAUACCGGAUAAUAUUUCGAACCGCAUGGUUCGAUAGUGAAAGAUGGCUUUGCUAUCACUUAUAGAUGGACCUGCGCCGUAUUAGCUAGUUGGUAAGGUAACGGCUUACCAAGGCAACGAUCCGUAGCCGACCUGAGAGGGUGAUCGGCCACACUGGAACUGAGCCCCGGUCCAGACUCCUACGGGAGGCAGCAGUAGGGAACCUUCCGCAAUGGGCGAAAGCCUGACGGAGCAACGCCGCGUGAGUGAUGAAGGUCUUCGGAUCUUAAAACUCUGUUAUUAGGGAAGAACAAACGUGUAAGUAACUGUGCACGUCUUGACGGUACCUAAUCAGAAAGCCACGGCUAACUACGUG
rnacentral:rRNA from 1 species